rnacentral:rRNA from 1 species
AUUAAACGCUGGCGGCAUGCCUUACACACGCAAGUCGAACGGUAACAGGUCUUCGGAUGCUGACGAGUGGCGAACGGGUGAGUAAUACAUCGGAACGUGCCUAGUAGUGGGGGAUAACUACUCGAAAGAGUGGCUAAUACCGCAUGAGAUCUACGGAUGAAAGCAGGGGAUCGCAAGACCUUGUGCUACUAGAGCGGCCGAUGGCAGAUUAGGUAGUUGGUGGGAUAAAAGCUUACCAAGCCGACGAUCUGUAGCUGGUCUGAGAGGACGAUCAGCCACACUGGGACUGAGACACGGCCCAGACUCCUACGGGGGGCAGCAGUGGGGAAUUUUGGACAAUGGGCGCAAGCCUGAUCCAGCAAUGCCGCGUGCAGGAUGAAGGCCUUCGGGUUGUAAACUGCUUUUGUACGGAACGAAAAGCCCUGGGUUAAUACCCUGGGGUCAUGACGGUACCGUAAGAAUAAGCACCGGCUAACUACGUGCCAGCCGCCGCCGUAA